rnacentral:rRNA from 1 species
UACGAAGGGGGCUAGCGUUGCUCGGAAUGACUGGGCGUAAAGGGCGCGUAGGCGGAUUGUACAGUCAGGCGUGAAAUUCCCGGGCUCAACCUGGGGGCUGCGCUUGAGACGUGCGAUCUUGAGUGGGGAAGAGGGUCGUGGAAUUCCCAGUGUAGAGGUGAAAUUCGUAGAUAUUCGGAAGAACACCGGUGGCGAAGGCGGCCAACUGGACGAAUACUGACGCUGAGACUCGAAAGCGUGGGGAGCAAACAGG